GAUGAACGCUAGCGGCAGGCCUAAUACAUGCAAGUCGAGGGGCAGCAGGAAUAGCAAUAUUUGCUGGCGACCGGCGCACGGGUGCGUAACACGUAUACAAUCUGCCUUCUACAGGGGGAUAGCCUUUCGAAAGAGAGAUUAAUACCCCAUAACACAAGAAAUAGCAUUAUUUUGUGUUGAAAGAUCCGUCGGUAGAAGAUGAGUAUGCGGGUGAUUAGCUAGUUGGUGAGGUAACGGCUCACCAAGGCAACGAUCACUAGGGGAUCUGAGAGGACUACCCCCCACACUGGUACUGAGACACGGACCAGACUCCUACGGGAGGCAGCAGUAAGGAAUAUUGGACAAUGGAGGCAACUCUGAUCCAGCCAUGCCGCGUGCAGGAUGAAGGCCCUAUGGGUCGUAAACUGCUUUUGUACGAGAGAAAACCUAUUCACGUGUAGAUAGUUGAUAGUAUCGUAAGAAUAAGGAUCGGCUAACUUCGUGCCAGCCGCCGCGGUAACAC
rnacentral:rRNA from 1 species